rnacentral:tRNA from 1 species
UCCCUGGAGGUCCAUUGGUCAGGAUGCUGUGCUUUCAUAGCCAAGGGCCUAGGUUCAAUCCCUGGUCAGGGAG